UUUGUCUCAUCAGACCCAACUUCAUUCUAUUAUUUUCAACCUGGCCCUUGCCAAGUGCCUUAGUGAAGAUACCAGCUAUUUAGUCCUUAGUGUUGCAAAAGACCAUUUUGGUCAGUCCCUUCUCUACAUUAUUUCUGAAAAAAUAAUGUCUGAUGUCUAUGUGUUUGGUCCUCUUAUGCUAAACAUGAUUCUUGUCCAUAUUGACUGCACUUGUAUUAUCACAGAAUAAAGGGACAUAACCUGAUAAGAUUCCAAAGUCUUCAAGAUACUGCUUAGUCCAGAGCAAUUGAGCAUAAUAUGAAGCAACUGCUAUAUACUCAACUUCAGCAGUUGAAAGAGCCAGUAAAUUCCGUUUCUUGGAACACUGGAUAUCAAUAAAGACCCUAAGAAGUGAGACAUUCCUAAAUUACUCUUCCAGUCAACCAGGUACCUAACAUAGUCUGUAUCAGCAUAUCCAACAAGAUUGAAGUUGUCACCAGCUGGAUAGAGGAGGACCAGGUCGGGGGUUCAUUUGAGGUAGCUAAAGAUCCAACUGGAAAGGAAAUUAAUGCACUUGAACAGCACAUUAAGAAUCUGUUGUGCCCAUCAACUCUAUUUUUCUUCAACACCUUGUAUGAUCCCUACAGAGAGGGAGCGGAUGUUGUCUGUGGGUACCCAUUCAGUCUCCGUGAAGGUGUACCAACUACAGUUUCACAUGGUAUAUGGCUCAACAUCCCUGAUUAUGAUGCAACUACCCAGCUUUUCAAGCCUAUUAAAGGAACACCAGGUAUGUUGAUGCUGUUAUAAACUUGGCAUUCGAUUGUGAGUUGAUUGGCCCUGCUAUGUACUUUGGACUCAUGGGCGAUGAAUAGCCUAUUGGACGCUACGAUGAUAUGUGGGCUGGCUGGUGCACCAAGGUUAUGUGGGCCCCCACGACUUGACCAGUGGGAACAAAACCAAAUCAGCCAAGUGUUGCAAACGGUAAUUGUGGUGACAAAGUUAUCUGAUGAAAUUUUCUGCAAGUAGAGAUAAGAGACUUGUAGUACAUGUUGUUAUUGAAGAUGAUUGUAGUUAACAUGUUUUACAUGGGUCUCCACAAGAAUGGGAAAGCAAGUAAAAUUUUCAGUAAAAGUAGACUUUUGACAUUUAUAAUUAAGCAAAUUUCAGAGGUGGACUCAGAAUUUGAAUUUUAUGGAUUUUUACUUCUAGGCAAGCGACAUAAGGUAUUGAUAAUUACCAUGUUCUAAAUUUAAAUUUUGUACCUACUGAAUGAAUUUUUUGGUACAACUACUAAGUUUGGAUUAAAGCUACCGAGUUCAGUUGAACCCGCAGAUAACCUUUUAACGCCGUCCAGUCUGGACACAAUUGUGUGUUUUGGUUGUGGGAGCACAUCAAGGAUUCAAUUUCCUGAUUCAAUUUCCUGACAUUCUCGCUAUAUGUAUAAACACACACACAUUCUGUGAAAUCUCAUAGUAUUGAAAAUGGGAAUGCCAAUAUGUAAAGAUCAGGAGUUUGAGCGACAAGGUGGGCAUCGAUUGUCAAUAGGCAAAGACGGAGUUAAAAUUUUCAGUUUAUGAGUUCUAAAUCAUAAUUAGGUUUGUUUACUGAGUUUUUGAUAGAUUACUUAUACAUACUAAAAGAAAUUGGAAUUGUCUUUUUUUUUGCCUUCUUCCCCAGGGAUCAAAAGUAUUCUCUCUUGCUCUCCAGUGUGACUCGAACCCUACCAAUCGAUGACGAAGGUGCCCAAUCUCUUGAUCGAACCUCACUUGUCGGGGAGAUAGUAUGUGUACAGUUUUCUUUUACACUAAUCGUGUAUGUCAUUAGAUUCAUCAACAAAAGUACCUAAAUGGUUGUUGUGUGCUAGCUAAGACAAAAAAUGAUCCAUGAAAAAUAGCUAAAGAUAUUUAUAGGUCGUUUGGCCAAAUUUUGAGAAGUCAUUUCUUUUUUAAGGAAAGGGUCAUAUUUGCCCCUCUACAAUUGAAAAAAAGAUCUACAAUUAUCCUUCAUUAAACUAUCGAUUCAAAUGUACUUUUAAUGUUAUACUAUCGGUGCAUAUGUGCUCUUAAUGUUAUACUAUCGGUUCAUAUGCGUCCUUACUGUUAUAAAAUUUGCCCUUCCUCUGUUGGCCCCAACCAUUUUGGUCAAAAUAGCAUGCCAAUUCACCAUACCAACUCCUCCUGAGUAUCAUACCAUUCAGAUUUAAAUGAAUGAUAGAUUUGUUUCUCAAUAUCACAAGAAUCAACUUUCAAAUAUAUCAAUAUUUGC